rnacentral:rRNA from 1 species
CACGUAGGGCGCGAGCGUUGUCCGGAAUUAUUGGGCGUAAAGAGCUCGUAGGCGGUCUGUCGCGUCGGCUGUGAAAACUCGGGGCUCAACCUCGAGCCUGCAGUCGAUACGGGCAGACUUGAGUGCUGUAGGGGAGACUGGAAUUCCUGGUGUAGCGGUGAAAUGCGCAGAUAUCAGGAGGAACACCGGUGGCGAAGGCGGGUCUCUGGGCCUUACCUGACGCUGAGGAGCGAAAGCGUGGGUAGCGAACAGG